UGCGUAACAAUGGGUUUGCGUGCUGCUGGGAUUCGUGAGUCGCCGGCCUCGCUGGAACCAGGUUCUUGACGUCAUAAAACAGGAAGGUAGCUGAAUCCAGGCCAGAGAUCCGGAAGAUUUUAACUAACACUGGCUCAAGAUUCUUUCCCCAAAAGGUAAUAACUGCCUUUUCCUCAUAUGAAUGAAUUUCUGAUUGCACAACUGAAAAAAA